AUUGAACGCUGGCGGAAUGCUUUACACAUGCAAGUCGAACGGUAGAGGGGGCAACCCCUCGAGAGUGGCGAACGGGUGAGUAAUAUAUCGGAACGUGCCCAGUCGUGGGGGAUAACGUAGCGAAAGUUACGCUAAUACCGCAUACGAUCUAAGGAUGAAAGCGGGGGAUCGUAAGACCCCGCCCGAUUGGAACGGCCGUUGUCAGAUUAGGUAGUUGUUGGGGUAAAGGCUCACCAAGCCAACGAUCUGUAGCUGGUCUGAGAGGACGACCAGCCACACUGGAACUGAGACACGGUCCAGACUCCUACGGGAGGCAGCAGUGGGGAAUUUUGGACAAUGGACGCAAGUCUGAUCCAGCCAUUCCGCGUGCAGGAUGAAGGCCCUCGGGUUGUAAACUGCUUUUGUACGGAACGAAAAGGUCUCUCUUAAUACGGGGGACUCAUGACGGUACCGUAAGAAUAAGCACCGGCUAACUACGUGCCAGCCGCCGCCGUAA
rnacentral:rRNA from 1 species